GUAAUCUGCCAAUAGAGUAAGCUCACAGCAGAAAUAUGAAUACUCAAAAUUUUUAGCAAAAGGAACCGACAGCUCAAUGAGUAGAGUAAGUGCAGUUAUACCUAUUUCAUAAACAGAAUGCAACCAAACCCAUCAUAAAUGAAGUAAAUGAGAUGUAAAGUAAAUCAAAUCAUCUUAUUCACAUAUAAAAAAAUUGAUUUGGUAGGAUAAAUAAGUACUCGUGAAAACAUUAUGCCACUAACUAUACCAUUAAUCCACUAUAGAACUAAAUAACCAACUCUUAUCCACUAAUUAUGAAAUUAAAUAACUGACUCUAAACCAAAUACGUUGUCUUCAACAUUCAUGUUAAUAUUUAAAUAAUAAUAUAUAUUUUAAAAAGGCAUUUUCCUAAAUACCCUCAAAACUCCUCUUAUUUCCCUAAAUACCCUCAAAACUGUCUUUUUAUAUAUUGUAUAGAUUUCUCAAUCAAUUUGGAAAUUAUUUCCCCUCUUUAAUUCAUUGACAAUCACGGUAUUUCUUUUCCCAACCGUAACCCUAACCUGCUCUACUCCUACCGCCACUUUUCCAUAAUAUUCAAAUUAAGUUUCACCCCACACCUAUUGUUUCUCUAAAAUCUGCAACAACUCACAAGAACAAUGCCAAUUCUCUUAACUCUCACUCACUCGGUCAAGGUAAUCGGCCACAUAACUUUUCACGAUUUAUUCCUUCCUAUAACCACACGUUUUGGCUAAUUUAACAAUUUGUUGUUUUCUACACAAUCUGCAAUUCUUGCUUGAACAGGCUUCUUCAUAACCAAAUCCAAUCCAGCUUAAGGUAAACUCCCUACAACUAUUCUUCAAAUGGCGGAAACAACUCACUGUAACCCUUCUGUCAGAAAAUCAAGGGAGGAAGUAGCGCCUAUCUUUUUGUUUCUUUCACUCACAGUCUGUUAUUGAAGGUGAAUCUUCGCAAACGAGCCGAGAUCGUAAGGGAAAGAAUUUAAUCGAGGAUUAAGCACUCGAGAUCUGCCCACUCGGAUGAACAUUCAAGUACAUGGGAAUAGAAUGGAAUAUUCGUGGUCGAGAAAUCAUGGAUUGACGGGAGAUUCAGCUAGCAACAUCAAUCCAUUCAUGGAUCAAAAGACAAGGAUAUGGAAGCUUAUGAUCGAUGGCAUGCUGCGAGUAGUCAUGUUAAGUAGUUUUUGUUAGCCUUGGUCGGCAAUGCUCUUGGCUGGAUUGACAAGCCCGACAGACCAUUGAUAUAAGAACCCAAAUGGUUUGAUUGGUUGUCCACCAAGUGUCUUAUGAGAUCGGUGGUGAACACAUUGAAGAAAACUAUCUUGAAGGAAGACCAAAACAUGAGUGACUAUGUCAUAGAAAUGUGGUAUGGUUUUGAUGGAUUCGAAACGAUGGAUGGGAAAAUAAGCCCGGAGACCCACAACUCAUGAUCCUCGAUGGUCUUCCAAAGAGCUAUGAAGAUGUAAAGAAUGAGAUUUUGUACACUUGUUGGCCAACGUCUCUUCUAGUACUGUUCAACAAGCUUAUUGAUGCUCAAAUCAAGAUGAGAAAGAUACAAAAAAAUGUGACAAAGAACUCUUUUGACCGUAGUACGCGAGUCCGACAUGGCAGAAAGUUCAAGUUAAGUUCAUAUGAAUUGAAGAAAUGUUUAAUUUCGAUAUAGCCAUAGCAUUUUUGUGUUUUUGA